rnacentral:rRNA from 1 species
GAUGAACGCUGGCGGCGUGCCUAAUACAUGCAAGUCGAGCGAACAGACGAGGAGCUUGCUCCUCUGACGUUAGCGGCGGACGGGUGAGUAACACGUGGAUAACCUACCUAUAAGACUGGGAUAACUUCGGGAAACCGGAGCUAAUACCGGAUAAUAUAUUGAACCGCAUGGUUCAAUAGUGAAAGACGGUUUUGCUGUCACUUAUAGAUGGAUCCGCGCCGCAUUAGCUAGUUGGUAAGGUAACGGCUUACCAAGGCGACCAUGCGUAGCCGACCUGAGAGGGUGAUCGGCCACACUGGAACUGGGACACGGUCCAGACUCCUACGGGAGGCAGCAGUAGGGAAUCUUCCGCAAUGGGCGAAAGCCUGACGGAGCAACGCCGCGUGAGUGAUGAAGGUCUUCGGAUCGUAAAACUCUGUUAUUAGGGAAGAACAAAUGUGUAAGUAACUAUGCACGUCUUGACGGUACCUAAUCAGAAAGCCACGGCUAACUACGUG